GCGGCCCGAACCUCAAUGAACAAUAGUUUUUGAACUAGUCUAAUUGAUCGUAGGUUGUUUAGAUUCUAACUGGUGGUACCACAGCUGCGCCUCUCCGAGUAUAUGGAAAGCAACCAAUCCCACCUUAUUCCCUUCCGGCAUGUGUUGAUUGGUAAAAAAUUUCUUGCACCGGUGUAAACAGAUUAGGGGAUCUUAAGAGCCAUCAAACGUUGGAAAAUCUAACUUGGUGUAGCGUGGAAUAACUUAAUUACCUGGUGGAUUAUUUGCAUCAUGUGUUUGACUACUAGCUUGAAGCGCUUGAGGUGGUUGUUCCCGUAGGUGUAAACAGAUUAGGGGAUCUUAAGAGCCAUCAAACGUUGGAAAAUCUAAUUUGGUAUAGCGUGGAAUAACUUAGUUACCUAGUGGAUUAUUUGCAUCAUGUGUCUGACUACUAACUUGAAACGCUUGAGGUGGUUGUUCCCGUAGGUGGUUGUUGCUUGCAGUCCCUUCUGACUCUGUUUGUCUGCCACAAUUUAAGCUGACUAGUAUUUCUUUGAAUUGUUGUGAGGAUAGCUCUUGCAAUUAAUUGCUCAAUCGCCUUUCAAUCUCUGCAUUCCGUGCCUUGUUUGUUGCUAAUCACAGAUUUUUUUUUGUUGCAGAGUCUGUUAUGUUUUUGAGACCAGGACCUUGUCAUUGGGCGGUUCACCGGAUAACUUACUUCUGGAUCUUGCUUUUUUCCCUUGUUAUGAUUUCUUGAGCGAUCUAUUGUGAAUUAUUUCCAAACUCAUUAAAGAGAGUUUGACACAUUGGACCUCAUUAUAGAGAGCUCCGAUCUCUAUAUUGUAAUUAUAAUUCUGUUUACCUCUUUAUUAAUUUUAGAGCCAUUUAAAUAGGAAUAGGUGCAUUAUAUUAUAAGAAACUUUUUUUAUUUAGGUUUCUCAUAACAAAAAUAAAGAAGGCUCCUAAUUAGGAGAUAAUUCUCCAAAAUACAAAUUAAGUUCCUAAAUAAAAGAUAAAUUUUUCUAACUAAUAAAUAGGUUUCUAAUCUUGGAUAAACUUAAAUCAUAUCAGCUCCUUAUUUGUCUUUUCUGUGAUAAGAACGGCCCACAAAAGAGUUUAUAACAUCAACCUAACCCAAGCUUGAGAC
rnacentral:lncRNA from 1 species